AGGGUGUAAACGCUGCAGACUUGGUGUUGGAGGCCCUUUGGGGGGCAUUCAGUGCCGGAGAGAAGUUGUUAAGUCUGCUACUUGGGGAGUACGUCCGCAAGGAUGAAACUUAAAGGAAUUGGCGGGGGAGCACCGCAACGGGAGGAGCGUGCGGUUUAAUUGGAUUCAACACCGUAAAACUCACCAGGGAAGACUGUUACAUGAAGGCCGAGAUGAAGACUCUGCUAGAUUUUCAGAGAGGAGGUGCAUGGCGUCAGUGACU
rnacentral:rRNA from 1 species